GCAUUUUGAUUAACGCCUGGCUCGCGCCAGGCCAACUGGAAG
rnacentral:ncRNA from 1 species